CAAUAGCGUAUAUUAAAGUUGUUGCGGUUAAAAAGCUCGUAGUUGGAUUUCUGCCGAGGACGACCGGUCCGCCCUCUGGGUGAGUAUCUGGCUCGGCCUGGGCAUCUUCUUGGAGAACGUAGCUGCACUUGACUGUGUGGUGCGGUAUCCAGGACUUUUACUUUGAGGAAAUUAGAGUGUUUCAAGCAGGCUUACGCCUUGAAUACAUUAGCAUGGAAUAAUAAGAUAGGACCUCGGUUCUAUUUUGUUGGUUUCUAGAGCUGAGGUAAUGAUUAAUAGGGAUAGUUGGGGGCAUUCGUAUUUAACUGUCAGAGGUGAAAUUCUUGGAUUAACGGAAGAUGAACUUCUGCGAAAGCAUCUGCCAAGGAUGUUUUCAUUG
rnacentral:rRNA from 1 species